rnacentral:tRNA from 1 species
GAAGGGUACCAAGGACUGCUACUCCUUACACCCGAGACUUAAACCUCGGACCCAUCA